GACGAACGCUGGCGGCGUGCUUAACACAUGCAAGUCGAACGGAAAGGCCCUGCUUUUGUGGGGUGCUCGAGUGGCGAACGGGUGAGUAACACGUGAGUAACCUGCCCUUGACUUUGGGAUAACUUCAGGAAACUGGGGCUAAUACCGGAUAGGAGCUCCUGCUGCAUGGUGGGGGUUGGAAAGUUUCGGCGGUUGGGGAUGGACUCGCGGCUUAUCAGCUUGUUGGUGGGGUAGUGGCUUACCAAGGCUUUGACGGGUAGCCGGCCUGAGAGGGUGACCGGCCAAAUUGGGACUGAGAUGCGGCCCGGACUCCACCGGGAGGCAGCGGUGGGGAAUAUUGCACAAUGGGCGGAAGCCUGGUGCAGCAACGCCGCGUGCGGGAUAACGGCCUUGGGUUUGUAAACCGUUUUCGCCCGUAACGAAGCGUGAGUGACGGUAAUGGGUAAAGAAGCACCGGCUAACUACGUG
rnacentral:rRNA from 1 species